rnacentral:rRNA from 1 species
GGAAACAGGUGCUAAUACCGUAUAACACUAUUUUCCGCAUGGAAGAAAGUUGAAAGGCGCUUUUGCGUCACUGAUGGAUGGACCCGCGGUGCAUUAGCUAGUUGGUGAGGUAACGGCUCACCAAGGCCACGAUGCAUAGCCGACCUGAGAGGGUGAUCGGCCACACUGGGACUGAGACACGGCCCAGACUCCUACGGGAGGCAGCAGUAGGGAAUCUUCGGCAAUGGGCGAAAGUCUGACCGAGCAACGCCGCGUGAGUGAAGAAGGUUUUCGGAUCGUAAAACUCUGUUGUUAGAGAAGAACAAGGAUGAGAGUAAAAUGUUCAUCCCUUGACGGUAUCUAACCAGAAAGCCACGGCUAACUACGUGCCAGCAGCCGCGGUAAUACGUAGGUGGCAAGCGUUGUCCGGAUUUAUUGGGCGUAAAGCGAGCGCAGGCGGUUUCUUAAGUCUGAUGUGAAAGCCCCCGGCUCAACCGGGGAGGGUCAUUGGAAACUGGGAGACUUGAGUGCAGAAGAGGAGAGUGGAAUUCCAUGUGUAGCGGUGAAAUGCGUAGAUAUAUGGAGGAACACCAGUGGCGAAGGCGGCUCUCUGGUCUGUAACUGACGCUGAGGCUCGAAAGCGUGGGGAGCGAACAGGAUUAGAUACCCUGGUAGUCCACGCCGUAAACGAU